AGUCGAUUUCCUUUAAGUAUUCCUACCGACGCAGCGCCAACAAAUUGCCUCUGACAACAGCUGGUAAAAGAUGUGGAAGUUCCUCUCUCCUCUGGGCUGCUUUACCACACGGGAUUUCUCCAAGAGAUCUACGAAAGAGAUGAAUGAUCUUGUGGUCUUGUAUGAGGCAGGAUGAGGCCGAGGAAUGCAGGAACGUUCUGCGCCUGAGGGAACUCCAAUCCGACCUUCCACCUUCUGUAAACUUAAAGACCUCUGUUUGUUAUUGCUUUUGCACAACUCCAGUAAUGGCCAGUAACUUCGGUUGUUCACUCACGCUGCAUCCGAAUAUCCAUACUUCCCUACUAUAUAGUAUGUCAAUGGAGUAGUAUGUCCGAAUCCUCAGUAUUCAUAAAACGGUAAGUAAGAAAUACCCGGAUGACCUUACAUUUCUGUCGAGAUUUUAAAGUGUGGAUCGACUGGACGAUCCCAUAAACGCAUGGAAGCUGAGGAGACAUCACAUUCAAAAAGGCUGGAUUUAAAGGAGUCAUGUUGGGAAAAAUCUAAUUUUCCUUGAUAUUUUGACAUAUAAGAGGUGAUUAUGCUAUAAAAACAUAUUGUACAUUUCAGAACU